AAAAGUUGCUAGGCAUUGCAGCUGAGCACGUCACCAUCCAGACUAUUGCAACAGGAACAAUCUGUUGAAAUCCUCAAAUGAAGGCCAUUCUAUUGCAAUCCAGACAACAAAACAACCUGCCUUUUUCCACCAUAAUCAAAUAAAAAAUCUCCUCUUCCUGUGAGGUACAAAAUGUCCAGAAUGUCAUCUUCAGCAUUGUCAUGACAAAAAGAUAGAUAUGGAGAAAUUAUGGAGAUGUUAGAGCAGAGACAAGCAGAUGUAUGCUGUGUACAAGAUGCAGGGAAAAAGAAGAUCCUGAGCCAAACUCAUCAUCAUCAUUAUCAUCAUCAUCAUUCAAUCUCCAUGUGUAGAAUGGGUUGACAGGUUCCAGUGAGUCAGACAACUGCAUCAAGCUCCAAUGUUGGUGACCCAGUAACUGGCUGGUUACCUGAAAUUAGUGCAGCUAAUUGUUUGGUUAUUUGUACCACAGAACACCUGUAAUAUUGAUCCCUUGUAAUUGCUUGUACCAUAUUCAUAAUCGUGGAGGCGCAAUGGCCCAGUGGUUAGGGCAGCGGACUCGCGGUCAUAGGAUAGCGGUUUUGAU